rnacentral:lncRNA from 1 species
UCCCUCUCUCCCUCCCUUUCACCCUUCCUCCUCUCUCCCUCCCUCUCUCUCUCUGUCACUCUGCCUUUCAGACAUAUAUUUUAAAAGAGAUUAAAGGGGAGAUCCAAGAUGGCUGAAUGAGGUGUAGCUAAGCUGACUUCAGCUGCCUGGGAUAUGAAAAGAACAAAGGAACCACCACGUUUCCAGACUGACAGAAAUUUCCAGUGGAGAAGUGAUGAGAGAGAGAAGACUUCCCGAGACAAGAGGAGGGAUGACAGAGACGCUGCUCUAGCCGGCUGCUUGGCAGCUGCCAUCUUACCAAGUCAAGAAGGGAUAGGAGGAGGGCAGAGCAGAGGUCAUGACUUUUGCUUCCAGAACAAUUCUGGAACUCACAGACUGUGUCACUCCUGUUUCACCGUUCACCCAACAUCUAGGUAUGACCUAUGAGUAUUUUUUGAGGUCCAGACCUAAUAUAUCAUCUCCUCUAGAAACAACAUUUUGACUUUUCCAACUAGAAAUUACUUUUUAAAGUAACUUCAGAAUUGUAUUUGUACAUGGGACUUCCUAUAAUUACACAUGUACCUUUACUAUCCUGUUAAAAUAUAAGGCUUCUCAGUGAAGGAUUUAGAUCUUGCAGUUUUUAUUUUAUUUUAUUUUUUUUAUUUUUGACAGACAGAGUGGACAGUGAGAGAGACAGAGACAGAGAGAAAGGUCUUCCUUUUGCCGUUGGUUCACCCUCCAAUGGCUGCCGCAGCCAGCACACUGCGGCUGGCGCAUCGCACUGAUCCGAAAGCAGGAGCCAGGUGCUUCUCCUGGUCUCCGAUGCGGGUGCAGGUCCCAAGGACUUGGGCCAUCCUCCUCUACACUCCCAGUCCAUAGCAGAGGGCUGGCCUGGAAGAGGGGCAACCGGGACAGAAUCCGAUGCCCCGACCAGGACUAGAACCCUGUGUGCAGGUGCCGCAAGGCGGAGGAUUAGCCUAUUGAGCCACGGCGCCGGCCUAGAUCUUGCUUUUUAAACACAUUAUUUAGCUUGUACUUAGACCUAUAUACAGUAAAACUGAAAGAAUAACUUACUGAUCAUUAAAUAAUAAAGCCAAUCAACA